rnacentral:rRNA from 1 species
CCUACGGGAGGCAGCAGUGGGGAAUAUUGCACAAUGGGGGAAACCCUGAUGCAGCGACGCCGCGUGAGUGAAGAAGUAUUUCGGUAUGUAAAGCUCUAUCAGCAGGGAAGAAAAUGACGGUAUCGGACUAUGAAGCGUCGGCUAACUACGAGCCAGCAGCCGCGGUAAGACGUCGGGGGCAAGCGUUAUCCGGAUUUACUGGGUGGAAAGGGAGCGUAGACGGCAGCACAAGUCUGGAGUGAACUCCCGGGGCUUAACCACGGAACUGCUUUGGAAACUGUGCAGCUAGAGUGCAGGAGAGGUAAGUGGAAUUCCUAGUGUAGCGGUGAAAUGCGUAGAUAUUAGGAGGAACACCAGUGGCGAAGGCGGCUUACUGGACUGUAACUGACGUUGAGGCUCGAAAGCGUGGGGAGCAAACAGGAUUAGAUACCCGUGUAGUC